GAUGAACGCUGGCGGCGUGCCUAAUACAUGCAAGUCGAGCGAACGGACGAGAAGCUUGCUUCUCUGAUGUUAGCGGCGGACGGGUGAGUAACACGUGGAUAACCUACCUAUAAGACUGGGAUAACUUCGGGAAACCGGAGUUAAUACCGGAUAAUAUUUUGAACCGCAUGGUUCAAAAGUGAAAGACGGUCUUGCUGUCACUUAUAGAUGGAUCCGCGCUGCAUUAGCUAGUUGGUAAGGUAACGGCUUACCAAGGCAACGAUGCAUAGCCGACCUGAGAGGGUGAUCGGCCACACUGGAACUGAGACACGGUCCAGACCCCUACGGGAGGCAGCAGUAGGGAAUCUUCCGCAAUGGGCGAAAGCCUGACGGAGCAACGCCGCGUGAGUGAUGAAGGUCUUCGGAUCGUAAAACUCUGUUAUUAGGGAAGAACAUAUGUGUAAGUAACUGUGCACAUCUUGACGGUACCUAAUCAGAAAGCCACGGCUAACUACGUG
rnacentral:rRNA from 1 species